rnacentral:lncRNA from 1 species
AGGGAACAGCAAUUCAACUCUAUGGCUUGACAAAGAAACUAUACACCAGCAUUGUGUGCAGGGCAAUUGAAUGUGUCAUUGGGAAUUUUUCUCAGAGAUUAUGCAGUCAUGUUGGCAUGUGUUAGUUCAGUUGGAUUUGCAGAGGAAGUGUUUGAAAGGUUAGUUUUCAAGUGUGUUUCACUUCACAUUAUUGUGAAUUGUUUACUUCCAUUGCCCUGCUGUGAUUUAGGAGUUAUUUUUGAAAAGUUUAAUAAAUUGUUGCCAAGAGUAAAGGAAAUUUUCUUUCUUUUGAAACAAUGAUUUUCGUUUUAUGAUAUGUUGUGAAAAUUUAAUUUAAAAAUUGACUAGUUGGUAGACGUUUUUGAUCUCUUUAUUUGCAUUCAUUUUAAGUGGGUUAAAUAACGGCCAUGUUCUGUUGUUUAUAUUUUUGCAACUUUGCAAAAUUAUCUGCAACCUCGCCACAAGGGUCUUUUCUUCCCAAGGGAAAGACCCUGUGUAAGAGGUUGAAUAACUUGCACACAGACCAAAUAUUGCAAAUUGUUGCUAUAACUUGUGUAUUGUUUGAUCGGUCCCAUCACAUUUCAGAGCAAGUUGGAACAAGUUUACUUGCGAUGACUUGCGUUCUCGUUUGAUCAGGGCUUAACUCCAAUGAUUGGUAACAUUUUUAUACUUAGGCGUAAAAAAUACCUGUAAUUCCGGUUCCCGACCAACCCUAUUUGUUCUGCCGACCCUAAUUAUUUUUUCAACGCAAUUGACUGUGCGACCCUAUUUUCUCCAGGUGGUUGCGGGCUGUUAACAAAAUGACAUCUGUUGUCACACUAAUUAUUGAGAAAAAAACCCAUGAAAAAAAUAUUCCAAAAAAAAUUAUUUCCGACCUACCAACCUUAAUUUUUUUGUGAUAUGAAACUGGAACCACAGGUAUUUUUUUACGCCUUAUCUAUGUUUCGACUUGUUACACAUUGGAUAGCUAUUUAAGAAUUAUUCGCCAAAGGUGAGGUGAUUAUUAGGGAAUAUUUGCUGAGACAAAGUUGAGGUGAAUAUUCCUUGAUAAUCACCAAGCCUAAUGCGAAUAAUUGUUGUAAUAUUUUUACACAAGCUUUUGUGUUUUUUGAGACUGAAUUUAUUUUAAUUUCUCUGUCAGUAGACCAACACAAAACGGGUAGCAACCAUUUAUUAAAUUUCUGUUUCGUUAUAUUCACCUGUAGGUGAAUAUUACAGCUUAUUAUGUCAAAUUUUUACCAAUAAAUGUGUAGAAUUUGUUAUGUUCACUUGUGCAGAAAUACGAAAUGUUAUUCGAUCAUUGGAGUUAACUUGUUUUGUAUUUUGUUAAAGUACUCAGUAGCUUUAAGAAUUUUUAAUAUAGUGUUUUAUAAUAUUGAGAUUUUGAAUUGGUUUUAAAAUUUAAACAAGAUCCAUCGUUCGGUCAAGUAAGUAGCACUGUCCCUUUGAUGAGUAAAAUCAUCUGGUAUUAGACAGAGUAAAAAAAGUACUGUAGAGCACAGUUGGGAGCAUUGGAGUUUAAUCUGUUAACAAGAUACAUGGCCAAGUAGUUUGGUUAACCUAUUAAUGCACAAGAAUUUCUCUUAAUGAGUAAAAUGAUCUGACAUUUGAGUUCCCUUGCAGCUUAAUGAGUUAAUCCUAUGUUUGUUAGGGAACAGCAAUUCAACUAUCUGGCUUGGCAAUUGAAUGUGUCAUUGGAAAUUUUUCUCUGAGAUUAUGCAGUCAUGCUUACAGGUGUUAGUUCAGUUGGAUUUGCAGAGGAACUACUUGAAAGGUCAGUUCUAAAAUCUCACUUUUAAAAUUUUUCAAAAAUGUCAAAUGGUUCUCCCUUUGAUUAGUCUGCAGUUUCCUGUGGUCCCCUGUUUGCAAACGAGCAACAUUGUUUUGAUUAACUGCCCUAUCUGCCGAUGUGUCUAUUAACCCAUUGAGUCGCAUUGUGCCCUGAUGCACCCUACUUUAUUAUUUUACUUUGUCUGAUGCCAGAUUUUACUCGUCAGAGGGGGAGUGCUAGCGCUUAAUGGGUGAAAAACUGGUUUGGACAAUUUUCAGAAAGUUUAGAGUGGGCUGGGCACUUUUACAAGUUUUCAAAGAUAUCCUGUGGUGCCCCCCUUUCAUUAGCAUAGGAUUGCUUAUGACCCACCACCACCUUUCAAUUAGACCAAAAUAUUCCAAUUUUUAUUACGCUAAAGUAAUUGUUUUGGGUAAAAGAACAGUUUUGAACAAUUUCAGAAAGUUUUGAUUAGUUUGGGGCAUUUUUGGUUGUGGCUGCCUUUGAUUAGCCUAGGGUUAAUCUGAUACUGUUUGCAAAUAACCAACAUUUUUCAAUUCAUGCUUUUAUUAUUUGAAUGUAAUUGUUUUGUUCGAUUAAAAGAAUGGUUUUGAACAGAAAGUUGGCAGCACACUGGCUGGGGUUCUUUUAAAAUUCAACAAAAAUACCUCCCCCCCCCCCUUUGGUUAGGGUUGCUGUGGUCCCCCCCCCAUCUUUGGAUUUCAACAAUAUUGAAAGAACGGUUUUCAAGAAUUUCCAGAAAGUUUGGAGUAUGCUCUUACAUUUUCCCCUGGAUUCCAGAGCCUGCUAUAAAUAAUAAAUUGAAACAUCAUGAAGGGUCUGGUUCAGCGGGAGGGUUCUUUGAUUAAACUGCGCCAAUCACAAAACAGAAUUAGUGGUUUUAGUACAGAAUAUGUCUUUUGUGAUUGGCGCGGUUUAAUCAAAGAAUCCUCGCAUUGAACGAGGGCCUUUAUUAUUUACUGAAGGUCCUGGACCAAUGGUGAGUCUAGCAGGUUUUUUUUUGGGGGGGGGGGGCGGUGCUAACCAAUGGCAAAAGUGAGGCGAUUGGGUCUCUGAAAUGGCAUUUCCAGCAUUCUGAGAAAACAUUCUGGAAAACUUUUAGUUUGUCAAAACAUUUCAAAAUUCAGAAUAUUUAAUAUUGGCUAUUCAGCUAUUGUCAACUAGUGAUAUACAACUGAAUUCCUUAACAUAAGUUGGUUAGGAGAAUUGGGAUAAGCGUCAUUUUGCACACCCCAGCCACCCUGUUCACCCUGUUGACCUUAGAGCGGUGCACCCAUCCGCUUCCAAUUCAGUUUUUAUGACUUGAAUGUAAUUGUUUUGAUUAAACGAACAUUUUUUGACAAUUUUCAGAAGGCUUGCAUUAUUCUUAGUUAUGGACUUAUUAUAAUUGUAAGAAAAAGGUGGUUGGAUGAAGCAGCAAUACACAACAUAGUCUCAGUUCUUUUAAAACUGUCUUUGAACUUUUUGUUCAAGCCUAGUGACUUAUUUCAGUAGAUGAAAAUCAUCCCACCUUUUAUCCUGUCUUGACAAACUGGGAUCAUGUGAACAGCACUGUUAGCCAUUAAGUUGAUUUGCACUGCAGUUUACAUACUUUACCAACUCUGUCUAACGUCAGACAAUUUUAUUAAUCAGGGGGAGCACUGCCAGUUAAUGAGUAAUUAGACGCAUGGGCAGUAGUCUCAUAACGAAGCAUAAAAUGUCUGGCAUUGGACAGAAAAAAAACUGAGUAGAGUAUGCUUCAUGGUACAGCACAACAAAAUGGUUUAAAUUUUAUAUCUGAAUUAAUUAUUUUUUUGCUUUGUUUUGUUUUACAGAUUAUUACUGAACAUGGUGAUGGAAUAGUAAUUUAUAAAAUAUCAUGUUGCCAAGAUAAGACACCUCAAAGAGCAAUACAUGAGGAAAUACUUUAAUUUUCCAAAAAUGGCAAUACACGAAAGACAGUAAGAUGAUACAAAGCCGUGAAUUUAAAGAAAAUGUAUCAAAAGACGAUGAUGAUGAAAUUGGACGAAAUAAAAGGAUGGAAUGUUAUGGUCAGCAAUGGAUAUUUGUGGCUAUACUAAAUGGGUACAAAAAGACUGAUGGAUAAAUAUGGCCCUGUAAUAUAUUCAGUUAAUGGAUAAACAAAGGCCACAGCAAUGUCUACUUUCAGGUGAUGUUUUUUCUUGUUUGCCUGCGAACAGGCUGUAGAUAUGUAGAUACUUGUACCCAGGCCAUUGUUUGUUUUGUUGUUCUGGGUACAAUGAAAUUCGGCAUAAAUCCUGGCGGUCUAAAUGUUCAGUAUAUUUACACAUUCCAUCGACUUUCUGUUCAGCAGACUUUGAUAGCUUGAACAAAAGUUUAUGACAAUGAUUUUCUUUGCAAAAACUGUACUUUAAAAAUUCGUUAGCUUCUGGAUCUGGAAAGACGGAACUUUUGAGUAUAUGUUUAUAUUGCAUGGUUCUAAUGAUUCGUUUAUUUUGCUGUUGUUUCCCCUUGUGUAAAUAUACUGCUUUGCACGCAGCACGCAACAGUUUAGACAGGGUCAUGAGGCAGGAUGUGUGCAAGAAAACUUUGCCAGAGUUUUGUUUUUU